rnacentral:rRNA from 1 species
AUGGACCAGGUGCAGCGGAAGAGCAGCCUGAGGUCCUACGGCUCGGCCAAGUCGCUGUCGGGGUCGGACGAGCAGCCCGGCCUCGGCGACCGGCGGGAGGUCGUGCUCAAGAUCGACGGCAACGGGAACGGCCCCGCGCCCUUCUCCGUUCCCGUCGGCGGGGCGGCGGGGAAUGCCGGUUCCAACUCCGACGCCAAGCCGGCGCCGAGCAGGACGUUGCUCACCGCCGCCAGCUCGCCGUCCAAGGGCUGGGACGACGGGAGCUACGACUUCUGGAAGAACGAGGGCGGCGGGAAAGGGGGAGGCCCCGCGCCCCGCGUCGAGGACUUCAGCUUCAAGAACCGGCCGGCGCAGCCGCCCACGUCACCGCAGGCAUCGUCCCCUUCCUUCUCGCCGAAGCAGGCGAGCGCCCCGGUGGAGGUCGCCGAGGACCCGCCCACGCGCCUCAUCGGGAACUUCCUCCGGAAGCAGAAGGCGGCCGGGGCCGAGCUGUCGCUCGACCUCGACCUGGAGAUGGACGACAUCGGGAGGUCGUCACACCCGUCCUUGUCCAACUCCCGAGAACGGGAGACGCCGCGUGUCUCCUUCAAGAACCGCCAGUCGUCCUCGUCGUCUUCAUCCGACUCCGAUACCGGCGGCGGCCGUAGGCGCGCCGGCGAUGACGGAAUACGCAACACCUCCACUUCCACUCCAGCGGGGAAGGGCCCGCUAAUGCGAGCCAAGACGCGCUCCCGGCUCAUGGACCCGCCACCGCAGUCACCCAUGGCGCCCCCUGCCGUCGACGAGGAGCGCAAGUCCUCUGCCCGACCUCCUAAGUCCGGCCAGUUUCCUUCGGGACGUAUGACCGGAAAAUCCGGCCAGUCUCCUUCAGGGCGCAAGUCGGGGGCCAUCGGCAAGUCGGGCCCCAUGGAGGAGGAGGAGGACGAUCCGUUCAUAGACGACGACAUCCCUGACGACUUCAAGCGUGGGAAGCUGGACGCCCUCACCAUACUGCAGUGGGUCGGCCUGGUGCUCAUCAUCGGGGCAUUGGUGUGCAGCCUCACGAUAAAGCCCUUGUCCCGGAAGAAGGUCUGGGAGCUGCACCUCUGGAAGUGGGAGCUCCUCGUGUUCGUGCUCAUCUGCGGCCGCCUCGUCUCCGGCUGGGUCAUCCGGAUCGUGGUGUUCUUCGUGGAACGCAACUUCGUGCUGCGGAAGCGCGUGCUCUACUUCGUGUACGGCGUGCGCGGCGCCGUGCAGAACGCGCUCUGGCUCGGCCUGGUUCUCGCGUCAUGGCACUUCUUGUUCGACGAGAACGUCCAGACAAACACGGCGGUGCUGCCCUACGUGACAAAGGUGCUGUUCUGCUUCCUCGUCGCCACGCUCAUCCGCCUCGUGAAGACGCUGCUGCUCAAGGUGCUGGCCUCGUCCUUCCAUGUCUCCACAUACUUUGAUCGGAUCCAAGAGGCAUUGUUCAACCAGUAUGUCAUCGAGACACUCUCUGGGCCGCCGCUAGUUGACGAAGACUACGUGCUUGCUGAGGUGCGUGAGCUGCAACGGGCAGGCGCAACCAUCCCGAAAGAGCUGCGUGCCGCCUUGCCAGCCAAGAACCUUUCGGGCCAAAAAAGCAUCCGGAUCUCGGGUUUAAUCUCCAAGGGAGACCAAUCAAGCAGGCAGCUGUCAAAGGAGAAGAAACAGCGUGAGAUUGAUGAAGGGAUCACCAUUGACAAGCUCCAUAGGCUCAAUCAGAAAAACGUCUCGGCAUGGAACAUGAAGAGGCUGAUGAAGAUUGUUCGUUUUGGGACGCUCACCACAAUGGAUGAGCAGAUUCAGCAGGCAACGGGAGAGGGGGAUGAGUCAGCGACACAGAUUCGCAGUGAAUAUGAGGCGCAGCUGGCCGCCAAGAAGAUCUUUCAUAAUGUGGCAAAGCCUGGAUCCAAGUACAUAUACUUGGCAGACUUGAUGCGCUUCAUGAGGCAGGAGGAAGCCAUCAAAGCUAUGCAUCUUUUUGAAGGAGCACAGGAGCACUGCAGGGUCAGCAAGAGGUCUCUGAAGAACUGGGUGGUGAAUGCAUUUAGAGAGCGCAAAGCUCUUGCCCUAACACUUAAUGACACAAAAACUGCAGUUAACAAGCUCAACCAGAUGUGCAAUGUUGUUGUUGGCCUCAUAGUGUCUGCUCUCUGGCUUCUUAUUCUGGGCAUAGCCACAACACAUUUCUUUGUCUUCAUCAGUUCACAGCUUCUUGUGGCAGUUUUUGUGUUCGGGAAUACUAUGAAGACAAUUUUUGAGGCAAUAAUUUUCUUAUUCGUGAUGCAUCCUUUCGAUGUCGGUGACCGCUGUGAGAUUGAAGAAGUUCAGGUUGUUGUGGAGGAAAUGAAUAUCAUGACAACAGUCUUCCUACGUUAUGAUAACCUGAAGAUCUAUUAUCCGAACAGUGUGCUGGCCACCAAGCCGAUUUUUAAUUUCUACAGAAGUCCUGAUAUGGGAGAAGGAAUUGACUUCUCUAUCCAUGUUGCCACGCCGGUGGAAAAACUGGCUCUCAUGAAGGAAAGAAUACUACGUUACAUUGACGGUAAGAAGGAGCAUUGGUACCCCGGUGCGAUGGUUGUCCUCCGAGAUGUGGAUGACACCAACAAGCUAAAGGUAUCCAUAUGGCUCCGGCACACACUCAACUUCCAGGACAUGGGGAUGAGGUUCGUGAGGAGGGAACUCGUGCUCCAGGAGAUGAUCAGAGUGCUCAAGGACCUCGACAUCGAGUAUCGGAUGUUGCCGCUGGACGUGAACGUGCGGAACGUGCCCCCUCUUCAGUCCACAAGGAUGCCGACGACAUGGAACUAUGCCUGA